GUCUCCGUAGUAUAAUUGUCUAUCUCGUUUAGAUGAACCGAAAGGUUGACGGUUCGAACCCAUCCGGGGGCG